rnacentral:rRNA from 1 species
AACGUAGGUGGCAAGCGUUGUCCGGAAUUACUGGGUGUAAAGGGAGCGCAGGCGGAAUGGCAAGUUGGAUGUGAAAUCUGGGGGCUCAACCCCCAAACUGCAUUCAAAACUGCUGUUCUUGAGUGAUGUAGAGGCAAGUGGAAUUCCCGGUGUAGCGGUGGAAUGCGUAGAUAUCGGGAGGAACACCAGUGGCGAAGGCGACUUGCUGGGCAUUUACUGACGCUGAGGCUCGAAAGUAUGGGGAGCAAACAGG